rnacentral:rRNA from 1 species
GAUGAACGCUGGCGGCGUGCCUAAUACAUGCAAGUCGAGCGAACGGACGAGAAGCUUUCUUCUCUGAUGUUAGCGGCGGACGGGUGUGUAACACGUGGAUAACCUACCUAUAAGACUGGGAUAACUUCGGGAAACCGGGGCUAAUACCGGAUAAUAUUUUGAACCGCAUUGUUCAAAAGUGAAAGACGGUCUUGCUGUCACUUAUAGAUUGAUCCGCGCUGCAUUAGCUAGUUGGUAAGGCAACGGCUUACCAAGGCAACUAUGCAUAGCCGACCUGAGAGGGUGAUCGGCCACACUGGAACUGAGACGCGGUCCCGACUCCUACGGGAGGCAGCAGUAGGGAAUCUUCCGCAAUGGGCGAAAGCCUGACGGAGCAACGCCGCGUGAGUGAUGAAGGUCUUCGGAUCGUAAAACUCUGUUACUAGGGAAGAACAUAUGUGUAAGUAACUGUGCACAUCUUGACGGUACCUAAUCAGAAAGCCACGGCUAACUACGUG